rnacentral:rRNA from 1 species
GCUGCAUUCACAAACACCCCGACUCCAAGGAGCAAUCAACCGAUCGUCUCGCCACCCGUACAGGUCUAGCACCUUCUUUGGACUAUAGCCCCACUCAAGGGGACUUUGGGUGCGCGAAACAAACGGACAACCGCACCUAUACGCUACAAUUCCAAGCGACCAGUGGCCAAUGGAUUCAGCGCUGGGCUUUUCCCCAUUCACUCGCCGUUACUAGAGGAAUCCUCGUUAGUUUCUUUUCCUCCGCUUAGUUAUAUGCUUAAGUUCAGCGGGUAAUC